rnacentral:pre_miRNA from 1 species
GGGGAGGCCGGGUCCUGGGCUGUGUCCCGGCGCCCUGUGCUCCAGGGCCUGCGCUGUUGGAUUCGCGCUCCCGCCCCGCAGCCCCCU